rnacentral:rRNA from 1 species
GAGUUUGAUCGUGGCUCAGGAUGAACGCUGGCGGCGUGCCUAAUACAUGCAAGUCGAGCGAACGGACGAGAAGCUUGCUUCUCUGAUGUUAGCGGCGGACGGGUGAGUAACACGCGGAUAACCUACCUAUAAGACUGGGAUAACUUCGGGAAACCGGAGCUAAUACCGGAUAAUGUUUUGAACCGCAUGGUCCAAAAGUAAAAGACGGUCUUGCUGUCACUUAUAGAUGGAUCCGCGCUGCAUUAGCUAGUUGGUAAGGUAACGGCUUACCAAGGCAACGAUGCAUAGCCGACCUGAGAGGGUGAUCGGCCACACUGGAACUGAGACACGGUCCAGACUCCUACGGGAGGCGGCAGUAGGGAAUCUUCCGCAAUGGGCGAAAGCCUGACGGAGCAACGCCGCGUGAGUGAUGAAGGUCUUCGGAUCGUAAAACUCUGUUAUUAGGGAAGAACAUAUGUGUAAGUAACUGUGCACAUCUUGACGGUACCUAAUCAGAAAGCCACGGCUAACUACGUGCCACGG